GAGUCGGACCUGCCCAGUGAAUAGUUUUCAACGGCCGCGGUACUCUGACCGUGCAAAGGUAGCAUAAUCAUUUGCCCUAUAAUUGAGGGCUAGUAUGAACGGUUUGACGUAAGCAAAACUGUCUCUAAAGGAUUUAUUAGAAUUUGAUUUUUAGGUGAAGAAACCUAAAUAUAAUUAGAGGACAAGAAGACCCUGUUGAGCUUGAAAAAAGUAUGUGGAAUUUAGAUAAUAUUUAUAGAAACUUAUCUACUAUAAAUUUUGGUUGGGGCGACUAAGGAACAAACAAAGCUUCUUAAAAAUAUAAAAAUAUACAAAUAUUGAUCCAUGAAUUUUGAUUAAAGAAAUUAGUUACCACAGGGAUAACAGCAUAAUUUUCUUUGAGAGCUCUAAUCGAAAAGAAAGUUUGUGACCUCGAUGUUGGACUAAAGUAUCCUAAAGAUGCAGAAGUCUUUAAGGGUUNGUC
rnacentral:rRNA from 1 species